GUUUAGAGAAGGACAUUGUAAGUACAUGUAAGAAAAUUAUUUAAAAAAAAUAUGCUAAGUGUUAUUUUUAUAGGAAUUACUUAAACAAAAAUUGGUCACUGUUGAGGUGAAUGAUAAAACCGCAAUAGAUAUUGAAAAGAAAUUGGAGCAACAAAUUUUACAUAAUUCCCCCUCAUCUAGUAUGAGUAAUUAUGUAAAAUUAGAUGAUUUACAGCCACUUGAAUCCAAGAUUUCAUUUAUUGAAAAACUUGUCUGUUCAAAAAUGAAAAAAUUAAGUGUACAAGAUGAGCCAAGCAGUAUAAGCUCAGACGCAUUGAAAAUAAAUGAUAAUUGUACUGAAUGGUGGUGUCCCAAACAUAGUAAAUUUUUGGACAUUUUAAAUGGCAUCAAGAUUGGAGAGCA